rnacentral:rRNA from 1 species
AUGAACGCUAGCGGCAGGCUUAACACAUGCAAGUCGAGGGGCAGCAUAAUGGAUAGCAAUAUCUAUGGUGGCGACCGGCGCACGGGUGCGUAACGCGUAUGCAACCUACCUUUAACAGGGGGAUAACACUGAGAAAUUGGUACUAAUACCCCAUAAUAUCAUAGAAGGCAUCUUUUAUGGUUGAAAAUUCCGAUGGUUAGAGAUGGGCAUGCGUUGUAUUAGCUAGUUGGUGGGGUAACGGCUCACCAAGGCGACGAUACAUAGGGGGACUGAGAGGUUAACCCCCCACACUGGUACUGAGACACGGACCAGACUCCUACGGGAGGCAGCAGUGAGGAAUAUUGGUCAAUGGACGCAAGUCUGAACCAGCCAUGCCGCGUGCAGGAUGACGGCUCUAUGAGUUGUAAACUGCUUUUGUACGAGGGUAAACGCAGAUACGUGUAUCUGUCUGAAAGUAUCGUACGAAUAAGGAUCGGCUAACUCCGUGCCAGCAGCCGCGGUAAUACGGAGGAUUCAAGCGUUAUCCGGAUUUAUUGGGUUUAAAGGGUGCGUAGGCGGUUUGAUAAGUUAGAGGUGAAAUUUCGGGGCUCAACCCUGAACGUGCCUCUAAUACUGUUGAGCUAGAGAGUAGUUGCGGUAGGCGGAAUGUAUGGUGUAGCGGUGAAAUGCUUAGAGAUCAUACAGAACACCGAUUGCGAAGGCAGCUUACCAAACUAUAUCUGACGUUGAGGCACGAAAGCGUGGGGAGCAAACAGGAUUAGAUACCCUGGUAGUCCACGCAGUAAACGAUGAUAACUCGUUGUCGGCGAUACACAGUCGGUGACUAAGCGAAAGCGAUAAGUUAUCCACCUGGGGAGUACGUUCGCAAGAAUGAAACUCAAAGGAAUUGACGGGGGCCCGCACAAGCGGAGGAACAUGUGGUUUAAUUCGAUGAUACGCGAGGAACCUUACCCGGGCUUGAAUUGCAACUGAAUGAUGUGGAGACAUGUCAGCCGCAAGGCAGUUGUGAAGGUGCUGCAUGGUUGUCGUCAGCUCGUGUCGUGAGAUGUUGGGUUAAGUCCCGCAACGAGCGCAACCCUUGAUUUUAGUUGCCAGCAUUUAGUUGGGCACUCUAAAGUGACUGCCGGUGCAAGCCGGAGGAAGGUGGGGAUGACGUCAAAUCAUCAUGCCCCUUAUGACCUGGGCUACACACGUGCUACAAUGGUCGGUACAACGUGCUGCGAACUCGCGAGGGCAAGCAAAUCACUUAAAACCGAUCUCAGUUCGGAUUGUAGGCUGCAACUCGCCUACAUGAAGCUGGAAUCGCUAGUAAUCGCGGAUCAGCAUGCCGCGGUGAAUACGUUCCCGGGCCUUGUACACACCGCCCGUCAAGCCAUGGGAGCCGGGGGUGCCUGAAGUUCGUGACCGCAAGGAGCGACCUAGGGCAAAACUGGUGACUGGGGCU